UCAAACGCAGCGCUGCUAUUCAUUUAUUAAUUCCGUGGGAGUUUAACGAGUUGUGGAUUUUCUCAGCUGAACUCAAGCCUUGUUCGCGGGUGAAAAAACAUGUCUCUUUCAAUCGUAAUGUGUGUGCUUUUAUGGUUUAUUCAGCAUACAGGAGCUCUUAAUCUGGGUCAAGAUAACGUCUGCAACUCGACAGUUCAAUACAAUGAGACGUACACUGCUAGUCGCCAGACUGCCCAUUACGAGACCUACAUGACCAGGUGCGGCAAUUGGUUUAUAUGUCAGCAGAUCAGAGUGGUCUAUCGGGAGCAGUACACCACCAGUUUUCGCCUUGUCUCCUCCGUUGGUUUAGAGUGCUGUCCCGGGUGGAUGUACUCCAGGCGACACGACUCCU